rnacentral:rRNA from 1 species
CACGGACCCAGGCCCUAUGGGGCGCAGCAGGCGAGAAAACUUUGCAAUGUGCGAAAGCACGACAAGGUUAAUCCGAGUGGUUUCUGCUAAAGGAACCUUUUGUUAGUCCUAGAAACACUAACGAAUAAGGGGUGGGCAAGUUCUGGUGUCAGCCGCCGCGGUAAAACCAGCACCUCAAGUGGUCAGGAUGAUUAUUGGGCCUAAAGCAUCCGUAGCCGGCUCUGUAAGUUUUCGGUUAAAUCUGUACGCUCAACGUACAGGCUGCCGGGAAUACUGCAGAGCUAGGGAGUGGGAGAGGUAGACGGUACUCGGUAGGAAGGGGUAAAAUCCUUUGAUCUAUUGAUGACCACCUGUGGCGAAGGCGGUCUACCAGAACACGUCCGACGGUGAGGGAUGAAAGCUGGGGGAGCAAACCGGAUUAGAUACCCGGGUAGUCCCAGCUGUAAACUAUGCAAACUCAGUGAUGCAUUGGCUUGUGGCCAAUGCAGUGCUGCAGGGAAGCCGUUAAGUUUGCCGCCUGGGAAGUACGUACGCAAGUAUGAAACUUAAAGGAAUUGGCGGGGGAGCACCACAAGGGGUGAAGCCUGCGGUUCAAUUGGAGUCAACGCCAGAAAUCUUACCCGGAGAGACAGCAGAAUGAAGGUCAAGCUGAAGACUUUACCAGACAAGCUGAGAGGUGGUGCAUGGCCGUCGCCAGCUCGUGCCGUGAGAUGUCCUGUUAAGUCAGGUAACGAGCGAGAUCCCUGCCUCUAGUUGCCACCAUUACUCUCAGGAGUAGUGGGGCGAAUUAGCGGGACCGCCGCAGUUAAUGCGGAGGAAGGAAGGGGCCACGGCAGGUCAGUAUGCCCCAAAACUCUGGGGCCACACGCGGGCUGCAAUGGUAAUGACAAUGGGUUCCGAAUCCGAAAGGAGGAGGUAAUCCCCAAACAUUACCACAGUUAUGACUGAGGGCUGCAACUCGCCCUCACGAAUAUGGAAUCCCUAGUAACUGCGUGUCAUUAUCGCGCGGUGAAUACGUCCCUGCUCCUUGCACACACCGCCCGUCGUUUCAUUGAAGUGAGCUCUUAGCGAGGUGACGUCUGAUUGGCGUUAUCGAACUUGGGGUUCGUGACAAGGGAAAAGUCGUAACAAGGUAACC